rfam:Gossypium hirsutum cultivar TM-1 chromosome 11, whole genome shotgun sequence
UGUUAAAAAUUUUCAUUCAUUUGUACUCUUAGAAACUAGCAUGGCCGAAAGAAUUCCCAGAUAAUGACAUGUGGUGUGCCACGUGUACCUUAUGCUAAUGUACAGGACUAGUUUCUAACUGCAGAAAUGAAUGAAAUUUUUAAUA